UACAGAGGUCUCAAGCGUUGUUCGGAUUCAUUGGGCGUAAAGGGUGCGUAGGCGGCGCGGUAAGUCGGGUGUGAAAUCUCGGAGCUUAACUCCGAAACUGCAUUCGAUACUGCCGUGCUUGAGGACUGGAGAGGAGACUGGAAUUUACGGUGUAGCGGUGAAAUGCGUUGAUAUCCUAAGGAACACCGGUGGCGAAAGCGGCUCACUGGGUCUCUUCUGACGCUGAGGCACGAAAGCUAGGGUAGCGAACGGG
rnacentral:rRNA from 1 species